rnacentral:lncRNA from 1 species
CACACACACACACACACACACACACACACACACACACACACAAACUGUCUGGAAAACUGUUUUUAUACAGGCUUGUAAUACCUUCUUGCUAAAAAGACCAUUGAUUUCACAGGUUAUUUCAUUUGGAUGUAUUUUUUGCCUUUACCGAUGACUGACUUCCUUUUUGUCACACUUUAGACUGUUGUACGGUCACAUUGGAUUUGAAAGCAACAUCCUUUCUUCCAUACAUCCACGCUACCUGAAAGACGACAGCUUCCUGAAUCCAACGAUACCAGAUAUGUGCACAUCGGACCUCCGCUUCAAAAGAUACGGCCAGAUACUACAAAAAUACUACAUUUGAAAAAGGAUUCUUGAAAGUGCAGUACCUUUGUGUGACCACAAGAUGUAGGUGUCACAUCACCUAUGAACCUACCCUAUGUUAAAAUCAUACACACUUGUAAAGGUAAGGUUGUAAAUAUAUAUAUUUGUAUGAUCCUGUGACACACCACACACACACAAACAACACCUCAACUAAACUUACCAGUCACACACACCUGGGCGACACAGACCUAAGUCGUA